rnacentral:tRNA from 1 species
GCCGUUAUAGCUCAGGGGCAGAGCGCUUCCUUGGUAAGGAAGAGGUCUCGGGUUCAAAUCCCGAUAAUGGCUCUA